GUUCGUCGUUUACAGGUGCAAUUUGAUGGAGGACGAAGAAUGACAUCUCCAAAUGUGUUAUUGAAUGCGAUGAAGUUGCGAACUAUUAUUGCUCUUAACCCGGAGAUUUUUUCACCUGUUAAUUCUUUCUUUCGUCAUAAGCGUUUACGAAUAUUAUGUCCGCUAGGUGGUUGGCGUGAAUACCCACUCUCUCGUGGCUUCGAGUUUCGCCAUAUGAAGCAUCUAAGGUACCUUGACCUCUCAUACAUUGAUUUAUCUCGUGAGGUGUCUUUAAGUCAUUCUUACAAUCUGCAAACACUCAUACUGCGUUGGUGUAAAAACGUUCCCAGCUGGUUUCUUAGUAAAAUUGGGUCAUUGAAGAGUUUGAGGCAUCUUGAUAUCUCGAGCUCGGAUAUUAGAUUCAUACCCGAAAAUAUCGGUUCCUUAGAACAUCUAAGUUGCCUUGAUCUUUCAUGUACACCAAUCUCAAAAUUACCUGAUUCAAUCACUCGUAUCAGCAGUUUAAAGAUUUUGAAGUUUGAUCGGUGUUAUAAUUUAGAUGCCUUACCUAGAAAGCUAGGAGCACUCACAAGAUUAACAUGUAUUGAUUUGAGGGGUACUUCCAUCAAAGUAUUGCCCGAAUCAUGCAUUACGAACCUUUGCAAUUUGGAGAUAGUGAGACUUGGUAGGAAGUGUGAGCUUCCCAAAGAAAUUAAGAAUUGGACGAAAUUGAGAAUUUUUACAUAUGAUGGAUGGAAUGAUGUAAUGCCUAGAGGUAUGGAAAAUCUCACCAGCCUCGAAGAAUUAGAUUACGUGGCCAGUAGAAGUGGUAUUGAAGAGUUGGGAGGCUUAAACUCCCUUAAGGUGUUGGGUAUAACAAAUCUGGAGAAUGUGAAAGGUGGAAAAGAAGGCGCCGAAACAGCGAAGUUAAAGGACAAGCAACACCUUCGAGAACUGAAUCUGUAUUGGGGAAUUAAUGAUGAUGAUGAUGAUGAUGAAGUGCGAAAUAGCAGAAGUGUUAAUGUGGUGUUUGAGGGUCUCCAGCCUCACUCAAAUUUGAAGAAGUUGAGGCUAGACGGAUUCUCAGGUUUCAAUUUUCCAAAGUGGAUGAUGGGUUGUUCAUUGAAUUUGGUGGAAUUAAUUUUAAGAAAUUGUGAUCAGCUUCCCGCGCUGGGUAUGCUCCCAUUUCUUAGGGUUCUUUUGAUUUGGGGAAUGAAAUCAAUCAAGUGUCUGGGAGAAGAAAUUUAUUAUCAACAAGAAAACCAAGACGAAGAAGAAGAAAGCAUUAGUAGUACAAAGAUAUCCUCAUCAUUAUUCCCAUCGUUAAUUAAAUUGGAGAUUGAAUUGGAAAACUUAGAAGAAUGGGUUGCUCCUCCUCUUUCUUCUACGACUUCUUGUUUCCCUUCACUUGAGAGUCUGGAGAUCAGUGGUUGUAAAAGAUUGAGAACCGCACCGAUAACUUGUUUUUCAUCUAUUAAGAAAUUGGAAUUAUGGGGUACUAAUGAUAAUGCAGUAAACUCGUUCUUUAAUAGAGGAGGAGGUGGUCUGACCUCUCUCACAGAGAUUAUCAUAAAGGAUUCUCCAGAUGUAAUAUAUCUACCACCACUAGGCGUACUACUCCAACACAAUACUCCGAAUCUUCAAUGCAUAGAUAUUGCUAAAUGCUCAAGUUUUCAAGGUUUUCGUGAUGAGGAUCUGAGAAACAACAGCAACAACAUCAAUUCUCUUCGCUCGUUGUUCUUAUCCGAUUGCCCUGUUUUAACGUCGCUACCGGAUUUACGAUUAUUCACUUGUAUUCAGUCAUUGUAUUUGCAAGAUUGUCCUGGUUUGACGUCUCUACCAGAUUUACGAUUAUGCACCUCUCUCCGGAGAUUGACUAUCCACAAGUGUGAUAAACUGAAUAAGAAGUCAAUACCUUAUGAUCUUAAGAAGUCCCUCACGUUUCUUGUAGAACUGAAAGUUGAUUUCAUUCAAAGAGAUGAGGGUGGUCCGGAUGUAUAUUAUGGAUAUGAAUUAAUGAACUUGAUGGAGAAGAAGAAGUAAAUUAAUGAACGAAAACAGGUCCCUUUUCCUUUUCUCCCUGCUUUGAUGAAACAUACCUUCAACUCUAUUUUUUAUUUAUGAAUUACUUCUUCAACUACAUUUUUGAAGUAAAUUAGCAACCAGUCAUGCACUAAUGAGAAGCUCUUAAGAAUCUCCCAACACUGGAUAUUCUAGUGGCAAGUAAGGAUUGGGCAUGUACUUCAUUUCGAGUUUCCUCUAGUCGACAACAUUUUUCUAUUAAAACUGAUUUUUUUUUUCUUUUAAACAUAUUAAAACUGAAUGUUCAAUUUGCUCUUGUCUGUAUUUUCUUCUACUAAUUGUUUCGAUUAUUUCCCUCCUUCAACCUACAGUGAUGCAUUAUAGCGCAAAAUGUUUUUCGGUAUGAACACCUUGACUUCGGUAAUAUUCUUUCCAUGAAAAUUGCACACAAGAAAUUUCCAGUGCCUAAGUCGAAUAUCAACAGCAAGAAAUGACCGUGUUUUCACAGUUUUUGGAGACCCAAGGAAGACAGGUCUUGAAUUCGUUCAGAGCGUCUGUGAACUCGCGAAUGGGUUAUCUGAACUUGGCAUUCAAAAGGGAGAUGUAGUUGCCAUUGCCGCUCUUAACAGGUUUAAAAUACCAAAGGUUUUUCUAUUCUGGAGGAAGCCAUUUCCUCUGACAUCAACCGGGAAACCGAGAAGACGGGAAGUUAGACAAGAGGCCAUUUCAAAAUUACAGCUAACGUUGCCUAGCUAUCUCUGACUGUACUGAGAGAAUAAAUUAACCGAGUUACUAA